UAACAAUCUACUCAGAUGAGUUUAAAUUAAGGCACACAAUUAUUUCUGCAUUAUUUUUACUGGGAAGAAGUAUUAGUAGCAUAUGACUGUGAAAAAGGAAUAAGAAGUAUUAUGCACCUAUUAAGUUGUUGAAAAUUCCUGGACUCCCUGCCUAUAGCGAAAAUCGUGAAAGAUGACUAACGUGUUUUUGGAAAGAUUAGGGUAUCUGUUUUACAUCGUGAAUCCCAACAAAACAUCGUUUGAGACUGUAGAAGAAGUGCCUGAAUAUGUACCACAAGUUGUGCCUCACUUUUUCCUUCUCUUUCUUUUGGAAGUAUUGAUCAAUGCUUAUAAGAAGAAAUCUACUGUGAGAGUGAAUGAUGCAAUUGGGUCCAUAUCGCAAGGAAUGCUGCAGCAGCUCUCAAGG
rnacentral:lncRNA from 1 species